rnacentral:miRNA from 1 species
GUAAAUAUAUGUGUGUAUAUAUGUAUGUGUGUCCACAUAUAUAUAUACACACACACACACACACA